AGCCUUAGGAAAAUAUCUUAGGUUAAACCUGCCCAAUGUAAUAAAAAUGAAUGGCCGCGGUACUUUGACCGUGCUAAGGUAGCGCAAUCAAUUGGCUUUUAAUUGGAGUCAGGAAUGAAUGGAAUCACGGGGUUUAGCUGUCUCUAAAUUAUUAUAUUGAAAUUACUAUUUAGGUGAAAAAGCCUAAAACAAGAAAAAGGACGAGAAGACCCUUAGAGUUUUACUUAAUCUAAAUUAAUUAUUUGGAGCAGUUUAGUUGGGGCAACAUAGGAGCAGAAUUAACUAAUCUCCUUAAAAUAAUUAACCGAUUUUUAUAAACUUAGAUAAACUACCUUAGGGAUAACAGCAUAAUUUUAUAAAAAAGUUUGUGACCUCGAUGUUGGAUUAGGAAACUAAAAGGCUAGCCGCCUUUUAGGAAAGUUCUGUUCGAACUAUUAUUCCUA
rnacentral:rRNA from 1 species